CAUAGGGUGACACGUUUCACUUCUAUUUAAAUCUGAACCCAUGUUACUAAUCUAACUAUCUUUUUUUACACUUUAUUACAACCUUUGCGAAAACAGAACCGGAAAAAAAGAAGACUAAACGGCCUUCUUUUAAGUUUUAACAUUCUCAACUGUUGCAGAUUGCUGGGUUUGUAUGGUUUAGACAGGACACAGUAGUAUUUAAUUGCUGCAUACAACAGACCACUCCCUUCUCCGCACGGGAGCUUAGCGCAUCGGGGUUUGCAGCAGUUAAAAUCUGUGAAAGUUGUAUCUAUCUAACUGCAGUCAGAUGGAAGAUGUUCUCCCUCUGUGUGACCCUCCCCGCAGCCUGUACUUCGACAUUGCAACCGUUACCUGUCAGAAGGGUAGGCAGAGCUUGAAGACUGUGGUUUCCAUUUUCAAUAAGAUUAAGAGGGUGUUUCCAGAUGCAGACCAUGUUCCAUCGACCGGUGGUAUUUUGACAUGCUACAAUAGCAAAGAUAUUCACUAAACAUCCUGGUUAACCAUGCUCAGAGCUUUAUACGGUAUUUUUCUAGCUUGGAUGGCAGAUGAAUGCCAAAAUUUCUUUGCUGAUACUUUGGAGACAAGAAGUUGCUAUCUUUAGAGUUUGUAGUGGUGAUUUUCUUGGUGUAAAGUUGCCCUUUGUGCUUGUUCAUUGUGUUGGUGUGCUCGGUUUUGUGUUUUGGUAACUUCCUUUGAGAUGCUGAAUAUGUUUUUCUCGUGUUUCUUUCAUGGCUUCUCAGAGAGCGUAAUGACAUAUGGUGGAUUCUUUUUAGUAACAUUCCCUUGCUCUGCAUGAUUGCUGCAUUCUUCAAAUUAACGGGUGAUCCAAAAGUUUACACGAUCUUCCUUAUUCUCAACAUAAUGUUCAUACCGUGUGGCAGCAUUAUUCAUACUGUUGCGCUGCUCACUGUUGUUUAUUGGCAUCGCGACAUGCCUUUUCAGUUAAUUGGAGCCAAGGUGAAAUUUAUGAUUGAGGUCAUUCCUAUGAUAACUGCAGCAGCCUUGCAUCACUUUUUGGAGUUCAAUUACGGGUAUCUCAAUCUAGUACUAUGCUGCACCACAUAUUUUUAUACCUAUGCCCACUUCCUUCACGUAGCAUAUGAUAUUGGAGGAAUAGACGUAUUGGUGGGAUUAGUAAUGCAGGUUGUUGGUUACAUGUUGAACGUAGAAUUGUUAGUUAGAGCUUUGGCUUUGAGCUUCUGCUUUGGUUUAUCUUUCUAUAGAUACAUGACAUAUUGUGCUCCUGAAUUACCUGCACAUCAUAAAAAGGAGUUGGAGCAGUUGCCUUGCUGAUAUAAAGGAGUUUGUUAGAGGGCUAAUUUCGUCAUGUGAUGAGUCUUUGAUUCACACAUUUAUUUUAACUUUUUCUUAUAAUACGUAGAUAGAGACCUGAACUUAAACAGUCAA